rnacentral:rRNA from 1 species
GAUGAACGCUGGCGGCGUGCCUAAUACAUGCAAGUCGAGCGAACAGACGAGGAGCUUGCUCCUCUGACGUUAGCGGCGGACGGGUGAGUAACACGUGGAUAACCUACCUAUAAGACUGGGAUAACUUCGUGAAACCUGAGCUAAUACCGGAUAAUAUAUUGAACCGCAUGGUUCAAUAGUUAAAGACGGUUUUGCUGUCACUUAUAGAUGGAUCCGCGCCGCAUUAGCUAGUUGGUAAGGUAACGGCUUACCAAGGCGACGAUGCGUAGCCGACCUGAGAGGGUGAUCGGCCACACUGGAACUGAGACACGGUCCAGACUCCUACGGGAGGCAGCAGUAGGGAAUCUUCCGCAAUGGGCGAAAGCCUGACGGAGCAACGCCGCGUGAGUGAUGACGGUCUUCGGAUCGUAAAACUCUGUUACUAGGGAAGAACAAAUGUGUAAGUAACUAUGCACGUCUUGACGGUACCUAAUCAGAAAGCCACGGCUAACUACGUG